GACGAACGCUGGCGGCGUGCUUAACACAUGCAAGUCGAACGAAGAGCGACGGAAGCUUGCUUCUAUCAAUCUUAGUGGCGAACGGGUGAGUAACGCGUAAUCAACCUGCCCUUCAGAGGGGGACAACAGUUGGAAACGACUGCUAAUACCGCAUACGAUCUAACCUCGGCAUCGAGGAUAGAUGAAAGGUGGCCUCUACAUGUAAGCUAUCACUGAAGGAGGGGAUUGCGUCUGAUUAGCUAGUUGGAGGGGCAACGGCCCACCAAGGCGAUGAUCAGUAGCCGGUCUGAGAGGAUGAACGGCCACAUUGGGACUGAGACACGGCCCAGACUCCUACGGGAGGCAGCAGUGGGGAAUCUUCCGCAAUGGACGAAAGUCUGACGGAGCAACGCCGCGUGAGUGAUGACGGCCUUCGGGUUGUAAAGCUCUGUUAAUCGGGACGAAAGGCCUUCUUGCGAAUAGUGAGAAGGAUUGACGGUACCGGAAUAGAAAGCCACGGCUAACUACGUG
rnacentral:rRNA from 1 species